rnacentral:rRNA from 1 species
GACGAACGCUGGCGGCGUGCCUAAUACAUGCAAGUCGAACGCACGGGGGAUGGGGGAGUAACACGUGGGUAACCUCCCAUCAGAGGGGAUAACACUUGGAAACAGGUGCUAAACCGAUACUGAUGGAUGGACCCGUGGUGCAUUAGCUAGUGGGGGGGGUAACGGCUCACCAAGGCGACGAUGCAUAGCGGAGCUGAGAGGGUGAUCGGCCACACUGGGACUGAGACACGGCCCAGACUCCUACGGGAGGCAGCAGUGGGGAAUCUUCGGCAAUGGGCGAAAGCCUGACCGAGCAAUGCCGCGUGAGUGAAGAAGGUUUUCGGGUUGUAAAGCUCUGUUGUUAGGGAAGCGGUACCUAACGAAAAAGCCACGGCUAACUACGUGCCAGCCGCCGCGGUAAUAC